rnacentral:rRNA from 1 species
AGAGUUUGAUCCUGGCUCAGGACGAACGCUGGCGGCGUGCCUAAUACAUGCAAGUCGAGCGCAGGAAGUCAUCCGAACCCUUCGGGGGGACGUUGACGGAAUGAGCGGCGGACGGGUGAGUAACACGUAAAGAACCUGCCCUCAGGUCUGGGAUAACCACGAGAAAUCGGGGCUAAUACCGGAUGGGUCAUCGGACCGCAUGGUCCGAGGAUGAAAGGCGCUUCGGCGUCGCCUGGGGAUGGCUUUGCGGUGCAUUAGCUAGUUGGUGGGGUAACGGCCCACCAAGGCGACGAUGCAUAGCCGACCUGAGAGGGUGAUCGGCCACACUGGGACUGGGACACGGCCCAGACUCCUACGGGAGGCAGCAGUAGGGAAUCUUCCACAAUGGACGAAAGUCUGAUGGAGCAACGCCGCGUGAACGAUGAAGGCCCUCGGGUCGUAAAGUUCUGUUGUAAGGGAAGAACAAGUGCCGCAGGCAAUGGCGGCACCUUGACGGUACCUUGCGAGAAAGCCACGGCUAACUACGUGCCAGCAGCCGCGGUAAUACGUAGGUGGCAAGCGUUAAUCGGAAUUACUGGGCGUAAAGCGCGCGUAGGUGGUUUGUUAAGUUGGAUGUGAAAUCCCCGGGCUCAACCUGGGAACUGCAUUCAAAACUGACUGACUAGAGUAUGGUAGAGGGUGGUGGAAUUUCCUGUGUAGCGGUGAAAUGCGUAGAUAUAGGAAGGACACCAGUGGCGAAAGCGACCACCUGGACUAUACUGACACUGAGGUGCGGAAGCGUGGGGAGCAACAGGAUUAGAUACCCUGGUAG